UACGGAGGGAGCUAGCGUUAUUCGGAAUUACUGGGCGUAAAGCGCACGUAGGCGGCUUUGUAAGUAAGAGGUGAAAGCCCAGAGCUCAACUCUGGAAUUGCCUUUUAGACUGCAUCGCUUGAAUCAUGGAGAGGUCAGUGGAAUUCCGAGUGUAGAGGUGAAAUUCGUAGAUAUUCGGAAGAACACCAGUGGCGAAGGCGGCUGACUGGACAUGUAUUGACGCUGAGGUGCGGAAAGCGUGGGGAGCAAACAGG
rnacentral:rRNA from 1 species